rnacentral:misc_RNA from 1 species
GGGAGCAGUUACCUUUUCAGACUGGAUGAUGAUUAUGUGGUUGAUGCGACAAAACGUGGUGGUAUUGCCAGAUUCGUAAACCAUUCUUGUGAGCCAAAUUGCUAUACAAAAGUUAUAAGUGUUGAGGGUCAGAAAAAGAUCUUCAUCUAUGCUAAGCGGCAUAUUGCAGCUGGUGAAGAGAUAACUUACAACUACAAGUUCCCCUUCGAGGAAAAGAAGAUUCCAUGUAACUGUGGUUCUAAGAGGUGUCGUGGCUCGAUGAAUUGAAAUGCAAAAGAGAUGCCAGAUCUGAUGUGUUAGGGGUUCGUUCUUGACCUGUGGUUUACAAGACACUCAUGCUGCCGUUUGCACAGAGUUCGUUAUCGUGUACAUCUUGUAAGCAAUGGGUUUUCCCUUGCAACUCCUGGUCAGGCGGUACCAGAUGCAUACACGUACUUCUGGGUUUACGCAUUCUUGUGAAAAAAGGACGACGAAUGUGUGCCCCUUGCAUGUAUUCUUGUAGAUAUCACAGUUGCAGAUGAGUUCCUCCUCUUAAGAAUUCAAAAUCGGUUGUUCUUUUAUUAUGCAAUCUCAAGGCACUCUUUUGGAACUAUAUCUCGUGUACAGACAUACAUUACAAUAUACCUUCACGUUUCAAGUAUAAUAAUAUACCAUAUUAAUUUCACGGAAUUCAAAGUACCUUUUAGUUUAUUUGGUUGUUAUGUUGAGAGAUAUCUCGUCUUGCGAGGGUCAAUCUGAAAGUCUGUUCCUCACAAAGGUUGGGGUAAGGUUUGUGUACAUCUUACUCUCCCUAGUCUCCACUUGUGAGAUUACACGGGGGAUGUUGUUGUUGAGAUAUCUUGUCACUGUUUCAGUGAUGCGCUAUUUAUUUUCGUCAAUCUUUACAUGUACAGGUCACUAUACUGUGUUAUUUGUGAAUUAUUAGUCUUGAUAAUCUUUCCAUAGAUACAUAUUGCUAUAAUCUGCUGGCUAGCAUGUUAGGAGAGUUUGACCCGAAACUCGAUUUAAGAUCUAAGAUUGUUAAAUUCUACCCUGACUAUAUGUGGAUGUCCCUGGGGUAAGAGUAAUUUUAGCAAUGAAUGCGGGCAUCAUAUUGUUUGGACUCUUCAAAAAUGUUUGUCAGAUCUUCAAACACACACUCGUCGAUAUUUUUGAAGAGUCCGAGCUUACAUAAGCCAUGUGUAUGCUCAAAAUGCUAGAGUGCAUUUACAGGUUUUUCUACCAAGGAUAAAUCAAUACAUGGAUAUAAUUUUUCUUAUUUUAGAAUUUUUUUUAAAUCACUUUGCAGUCGAGUUGAUAAAAUUUAUUUUUUCUGCUUUAGAAUCAAAUCCCAUUUUUGAUAAUAGGUUAUAAUGUUGUACUUGCAUUAUCAC